rnacentral:tRNA from 1 species
CCCGCAUUAGCUUAGUUGGUCAGAGCGCUUGAUUGUGGAUCAAGAGGUCAUCGGUUCGAAUCUGAUAUGUGGGG